CGAGCGAGAAGCCCGCAAGGGUGAGUAAAGCGGCGCACGGGUGAGUAACACGUGGGUAAUCUUCCUUGGAGCCCGGAAUAACUCCCCGAAAGGGGUGCUAAUGCCGGAUGAGACCACGGGAUCUCCGGAUCCUGAGGGAAAAGGCGGCCUCUGUACACAAGCUGUCACUCCAAGAUGAGCCCGCGGCCCAUCAGCUAGUUGGCGGGGUAAUGGCCCACCAAGGCAUCGACGGGUAGCUGGUCUGAGAGGACGAUCAGCCACACUGGAACUGAGACACGGUCCAGACUCCUACGGGAGGCAGCAGUGGGGAAUUUUGCGCAAUGGGCGAAAGCCUGACGCAGCAACGCCGCGUGUGUGAUGAAGGUCUUCGGAUCGUAAAGCACUGUCGGGAGGGACGAAUAAGGCGGCGGCUAAUAUCCGCAGCCGAUGACGGUACCUCCAAAGGAAGCACCGGCUAACUCUGUGCCAGCAGCCGCGGUAAUACAGAGGGUGCAAGCGUUGUUCGGAAUUAUUGGGCGUAAAGCGCGUGUAGGCGGCCUUGCAAGUUGGGUGUGAAAGCCCUCGGCUUAACCGAGGAAGUGCGCCCAAAACUACAGGGCUUGAGUACCGGAGAGGGUGGCGGAAUUCCC
rnacentral:rRNA from 1 species